AGCGAGGUCACGUUGACCCUACUCCCGCAACGCAGAACGGUACUUAUCCACAGUCAACGCAACUCCGCGAAAGAGCCCCGAAGCGGAAUCAUAAUCCGCGUGUCGGGGGUUCGAGUCCCUCCUCCGCUA
rnacentral:tRNA from 1 species